UGUUAAAAAUUUAAUUCAUUUCUAUUGUUAAAAAAUGGUGUGAUUGACGGAAUCAUUAGACAGUUACACACGGCAUGCCACGUGCACCUUAUUCUGACGUACAGAGACUUGUUUUUAGCACUAGAAAUGAAUAAAAUUUUUAACA
rfam:Gossypium arboreum cultivar AKA8401 contig_979_15, whole genome shotgun sequence.